rnacentral:rRNA from 1 species
GUGUUUUAUAAACAGCCGCGGUAACUUGACCGUGCGAAGGUAGCAUAAUCAUUAGUUUUUUAAUUGGAAACUGGUAUGAAGGGUUUGACAGAGAGGGGCUGUCUUAAGGAUAUUGAUGAAUUUCUUUACACAGUGAGGAAACUGUGAUGUAUUUUGGGGACGAGAAGACCCUAUAAAGCUUUAUUUGUUCUAAGUUUUUUCUUGGUUUCUUGUUUAGUUGGGGCGACGAGCGGUUGAUUAGAAAACUGCUGUUGUUGUGGGAUAAUUUGUAAGACUUAUUGAGGUCCAUUAUUAGUGAUGAUGAGAUAAGCUACUUUAGGGAUAACAGCGUUAUUGUGGUGGAGAGUGCGUAUUGAUACUGCAGUUUGCGACCUCGAUGUUGAAUUAGGAUGUCUUAGUGCCGCAGGAGGUACUUAAGAGGGUCUGUUCGACCUUUAAUUUCUUACA